GAGAAAGAGAAGAGAGUAUGUAAAAGAUCAGGAUGGAGAGGAUUUCUAACAGUACUUAAGUCGCGCAACUCUUCGUUGCGAUCCACCGAAGACGUCAAUGUUGCAAUUUUUAACAUAGGAAAUUCAGCUGAAAGAGAUAAAACAAUAUCUAUGUUUAUGGCUCAUAACGUUCAUGUGGCGAAAUAAGAAAAAAAAAAGGCAAAGGUUCUUAUUGUUAAUGAAAUGUUUGUUAAGAAUAAGUGUCAGCGAACGCUAUUCGUUUUCAUCAAUAUGCGAUAGAUCUAUUGGGAAUCUUCAGUUCUGACGCAAUCAGCCGAAGCGGAUAAACCAGUCAAUUCUGCAAAAAUUGACGAGAUAAGAAGAUACCAAACAACAGGAAAAAGACAAACUAAUCUGGUAUUAUCCACCGAUAUACAGAAAUGACGUACUUGAGAAGCAAAAAACGAAAGUUUCAAUAUAUAAAUACCGCCGAAGAAAUAAAAAAAAAGCUGUAAAUAAAAUAAGGAAAAAGAAAACAAAAUAAAUUUGAAAUUAAUUGAUGUUUGAAUAACAAUUGAACAAAUUUAAUUAAUAAUAAUAAAAUUACUUGAAAUUAUAACAAAUAUUCAUAAUAUUAGCAAAAUUAAUUUCUCUUGUUAAAUAACUUUUUGCAAUAAAGAAAAAAUACUUCAC